rnacentral:rRNA from 1 species
GAUGAACGCUGGCGGCGCGCCUAACACAUGCAAGUCGAACGAAGCACCUUGAUUUGAUUCUUCGGAUGAAGAUCUUGGUGACUGAGUGGCGGACGGGUGAGUAACGCGUGGGUAACCUGCCUCAUACAGGGGGAUAAUAGUUAGAAAUGACUGCUAAUACCGCAUAAGACCACAGUACCGCAUGGUACAGGGGUAAAAACUCCGGGGGUAUGAGAUGGACCCGCGUCUGGUUAGGUAGUUGGUGGGGUAACGACCUACCAAGCCGACGAUCAGUAGCCGACCUUAGGAGGUUACCGGCCCAAUUGGGACGGGUACUCGGCGCAUAAUCCUGCAGGGAACAGCAGUCGGAAAUAUUGCACAACGUGCGAAACCGUGAUCCAGCGGCGAAGCGAGAACUAUGAAAUCUUUCGGCAUCAAAAGCGCUAUCAGCAGGGAAGAAAAUGACGGUACGUGACUAAGAAGCAUCGGAUAAAUGCGAGGCAGCCACAGCCGUAA